UAGUCACACCAUCCACUGCGGCCUUCAAAUGUUACAAAUGCUAGGCCGAAAGUCAUCUUAGCACCAAUAGGAGGGGAUCAGAAACUGGAAAGGAAAGCUAGUGGCGAGCAGUCCCUCAAAGCCAGAGCGCACCGGAAGAUGGGCUGGUCAGGAGAAACACGUCACAUGUCGAAAACCUGUCAGCAAGGCACUGUUCUAGGCUCUGAGUAUACAAAAUAAAGAAUGCAUCAUACAGAGCCCUCAGACAAGCACAGUCGCAGGGCGGUGGUAUAAGUGCUGCAGGAAAACCGUGUUACAGGUGAUCUCGGACAGCCUGGGACUGCGGCAGCGUGGAGCAGUGCUCGGGCUCCCAGCCAGAGAUUGGGCUGGGUGGUGGUGGUGGAAGCGCCAGAUCCUAGCCACUAGACUUGUGAUCAUUGACAAGAGCCCUGGGCCUUUGGCUUUGCCAAAAAGAAUUCCCACAAAGACAGGAAGUGGUGAAACAAGUAAAGUAUUUAUUAAGAGGAAAAGAGCACAGUGUGUGUGGCUAGGCCCACAGGCAAACUCAGAGCUCCUGAGUCGUGCCCUCGGGAAGUUUGAAUUACUUUUAUGGGGUAUUUCUUCUGCGUUUCCUUUGGCCAAUCCUUUUGAUUUGCCCGGUUCACAGUCUGUGUCUGGUAUAUCUCAGAAUCCCCCCAGGGCUUCCCUAGUGGCUCAGAUGGUAAAGAAUCCACCUGCAAUGCAGGAGGCCUGGGUUCAGUCCCUGGGUUGGAAGAUCCCCUGGAGAAGGAAACGGCAACCCACUCCAGUAUUCUUGCCCAAAGAGUCCCAUGAACAGGGGAGCCUGGUGGGCUACAGUCCAUGGAGUCAAACUCAACUGAAGCGACUUAGCACGCACUCAGAGGAUUCUCCCAUGUGUGCACACGCAUCUCUUAGCCAAGAAGGAUUUUACCAAAAAGGCAUCUGGGUAGAACAUCCCUUGAUAUAAGUCUCCUUUGGCCUCCAAAGAGCCUUUCUGCCCAUGUGUGGUCAGGGCGGUCUGCUGACUUCGAGAACGAGAAACAUGUGGUCUAGGCAGGGCCCAGCCUCCUCCCUUAAUCAUCCUGCUGUUCUUGUCUUAGAGUUUCAGUCCAUAGGGGAUGCAUCUCCUAUUGCUUUACCCUCUAGGGUGGGGCUCAUCUAUCCCCUGCCUCACAGGUACAGGGUGAUCAAAUGUCAGUGGUCCCAGUCUUAGACCAGCUCACCUUUAGAGCCCGUCUCAGCCUCACCCUCGGCUCUAUUUUGCUAGGAGCUGACUCUUGCAGGCCGAGAUUUACAGAAUCCUGGGCCAGGUGGCUAAUAGCUAGAUACGGCCCAUGAGCAGUGUUGGAGAGAGAGUGGAAGGUGGGAGGAAAGUUAAGGCCAGAGAAUUUCUUCACCUCCCUCUUGCCUCUGACAGCAUCUCCAGCUGUGACUGCAUCUGACUAAGGCUUCUGCCAGGUGAUCCCAGCCCUUGGCUGAGGUAAAACUACGACUUCCCGUUAACUCUCCAGCUUAAUGAUGUUAAUGACUUUCUGCUAAAAUUAGUUGCUUGUAGCUUCUUCUUCCUCUGUUUGCGUCUCAGAUCCUCCAUCACCUGUAGGGCAAUGCCCUGCAUUAAAUCCCUUCUGUGGACGGGUAAUUUACAAAAUGACCUGAGCAGUACUCCUCAAAAGGAUGCAGUGCUGUGCUUAGUUGCUCCAUCAUGUCCGACUCUUUGAACCCCAGGGACUGUAGCCCACCAGGUUCCUCUGUCUCUGGGGAUUCUCCUGGCAAGAAUCCUGGAGUGGGUUGCCAUUCCCUUCUCCAGGGAAUAUUCCCAACCCAGGGAUAGAACCCAGGUUUCCCGCACUGCAGAUGGAUUCUUUACUUAGCCACCAGGGAAGCCCCAGUAGAGUCAUUAAAAACCAGGAAAUGCUGAGAACUGCUACAGCAAAGAGGAGCUUUAAGGAGAUAUGACAACUCCAUGUACUGUGGUAUACUGGAUGGGAUCAAGGGGCAGAAAAAGGUGACAGCACUAAAUCACUACUGUGAAUCCACGCUCAUCGAAAGGCAUGAAGGAACCUCGCUUUGCUGUGUUCAUCGCUGAUGCUGGUCACACUUAUUCCUUAACCGACCCAAUCAGGCCAUUUGCAGAUGGCCCCCCAGUAGUGGAAGAGGGCUGGUGUUCCCUUCUCUCCAGAGCCAGUUACAGAACCGGCUGCAACCUGUGUCCUCAGACCCAUCUUCCCCGGCUCUGGCUCCGUCCUUUAGGAGUGAUUUAUCCUGGGGUCUGACUCCCGAGCAGAGCCGCAGUGUCGGCCUUGAAGGAAAGCCAGACGCAGCCCGGCCUGGCUCUGGGCCAGCCAGCUGGCGGCGGAGCUGCGGGCUCUUGGGGUCCCCCGGCCCCCCUUUCAGCUGUCUCGCCCAGGUGAUCAUCCACGCUGCCGCUCCCUGGCUCUUUCUAGCCCCUCAUUUCAGAUCACUUUACACACGUUAAUUAAGCCUUGAAACACUCAGGAAAGAAAAUCGAAGCGCUAACUGGGAUGUCAGCCACGCCCCUCCCCAGUCAGGAGGAAGAAGGAGCUGGUAAAGCACGGGGUUGGGAUGAACCGGUUCCACAAGAGGCAGGAAACCCCGUUCACUUCAAAUUCACCAGUCAGCGUCACAGAACAACCUCCCACCUCAUGGUCCCCCAUCACGGUUGAUCCUGGUGACCAUCGGAAGGCGGGUUCCCCUGGGCAAGACUGCUGACUGAGAGGCAGCAUCCAUCCUAAAGGAAAUCAACCCUGAAUGUUCACUGGAAGGACUGAUGCUGAAGCUGGAGCUCCAAUGCUUUGGACACCUGAUGCGAAGAGCUGACUCACUGGAAAAGACCCUGAUGCUGGGAAAGACUGAAGGCGGGAAGAGAAGGGGAUGACAGAGGGUGAGAUGCUUCAGUGGUAUCACUGACUCAGUGGACAUGAGUUUGAACAAGCUCCGGGAGUUGGUGAAGGAUGGGGAAGCCUGGCGUGCUGCAGUCCAUGGGGCUGCAGAGAGUCGGACACGACGGAACAACCACCAUCUGGGUCAUGCUGUUAGGAAGCCUUCAGUCUGCACCGCAGUGGUGAGGCUUAUGGUCACGGCUUUGGGAUCAGAGAGGCCUUGGCCAUCCCCGGCCCUGCCACUUUCAGCUGCUGUCCCGUGCACUUUACUCGGAAUCCUGGAUCCCGCUGUUUCUGCUGUUAAAGGGACAUGAGAGCAUCCACCCCUGCCACCACCAUCCCCACCCCCCACCCUGCCAACGUGGUUUCUGCGGAGGAUGAAAUUAGAUCAGGCAUGCAAAAUAUUGAGGACCAAAAUGUAAAACAUAUUUAUGUUUGGCACAUAAAAUGGUAUAUUUUAUAGUUUUCUGAACCAUCUCCCUAGCUAAUCCCAGUCCAUCUGAAUUAAUGCAGUUCUCUCGCUGCGUUGGAAGCUUUUUCUCAAAUUAACACUGAAGUCUCUCAUUGACAAGAAAUGGUUGGGGGAUCCCCGUGAAGCCUGUAGUUCAGUUGACAGCGUAUACCAUUUCCGUGUCUUAGUUUUGAUAAAUAUGUCACGGACAUUUUCACAGUGUGGACAUUUCAGGAAGUUGGGUGAGUGGUCCUGGAACCCUUCUUUCUUUGCAACCAAUGCUCAGCUGACAACAGCAAUAAUCCUAUUAAAAUGCGUCAAAAUCAGUAACGCUCACCCAGUAGGGGAGAACAUCAUCUCUGCUUUUAGUACACAUUAAUAAAAAUACCUCCUUAGGGUUCAAAAUUGCCCAUUUUUGUUGUUGUUACCAAAAUAAGAGGCAAUUGAAUGUUAUCUCUAGCUGUUUUCACCACCAAGAAAAAUUCCUUGAGUUUCCAGGGUCGGCAGGGCACCAUCUUGAACGUUAAAAUAACAAACAUUACCAUCAGGAAAAAUAAAGACAGAAAAACACCUGCGGGGGAGUCAUUUUAAGGUGGGUGUUCGGAUGUGAGACAUUUGAUAACUUUACCAUGUAAGCCCCCAGCGCGUCCCUUCCUUCAGGGGAAAGGGAUGACUCUCCGGGCAGUCAGCUCCAGCCUUCCCUUCUGGUGGGCAGCGACGACGAAGGACAGUCCUGUCGAAUAACACCACGAUGACCCCGCUGGCCACCCAGAGGCCAGCUUCUGAGACGUUCACCUUAAAAUGCUGAGGAGACCUUUCCUCUCUCUCACCUGAAGGCGACCUGAGGUCUUUAUUUUUAUUCCUUACUUUUAUUACCGCAUUUCUUGUACCAUGCAAAUUGUGAUGUACUCGUGGGGGUCAGAAGGAGAUUUCCAAAGGGCAGAUGGUGAGUUCUGCUAAUGGCGCUGACGUGGAGAUGGUGAAUAUCCUGUAGCCAUGUUACAACAGGUUCAGGGAAAGAGCCGCUGCUCUCAGGAGUGAGGAUAUA
ensembl:lncRNA